rnacentral:misc_RNA from 1 species
CAAUUACCUUGUAAUUAAAAACAUACCAAAGUACAUUUACAAUAUGAAGAGAAUUAACCAUCACAACCCUAAACUAUCGUGAAAGAAACCAACCAUGAGAAACCAAACACAUUGGACAUAGAGCUGCUAUAAACCCUACAAACACUCCCUCCUCGUAUUUCUGGAUUCUUAAAAACAACAUUACACAAACACAAAAUUAACAUUCCAACAGUUCAAUUUGCAUGAGGCUGAUGGCGUGACUUCUCCUUCUCCUUCACUUCGCUCCCUUGGCUUCUAUCAUAUUCUUCAUGUUGAUUCCCGUGGAGAAACGAUUUUUUAUUCUCAGAUUCGUCAUCGAUUGACUGAUUCCCUCCAUAAGUUCCUCCAAAUCCUUCUUCAUCGCUUCGAGUUGAGUACCCUUCGCCGAAGGAAUCAGACAUUAUAUCUCCAGUCUCCUUGGGUUUCUUCUGAGAGUCAUCCAUGUCCUUUCGGUUCUGUUCAGGUGCAGUGGCAAAACCAAUCGCUUGACGGGAUCGGAGCUCAGGCGAGCAAAUACGGCGGAGCUGCGGCGGAAGAGGUGAUGUGAGCAAAAUCGGCGGUGGAGUACGGCCGAAUCUGAU